GACGAACGCUGGCGGCGUGCUUAACACAUGCAAGUCGAACGCACGGCCUUGGGGUUUUCUUGGGGUUGGUGAGUGGCGAACGGGUGAGUAACACGUGAGUAACCUGCCCUCUUCUUUGGGAUAACGGUCGGAAACGGCUGCUAAUACUGGAUAUUCACACAUUGUCGCAUGGUGGUGUGUGGAAAGGGUUUUCUGGUGGGGGAUGGGCUCGCGGCCUAUCAGCUUGUUGGUGGGGUGAUGGCUUACCAAGGCUUUGACGGGUAACCGGCCUGAGAGGGUGACCGGUCACAUUGGGACUGAGAUACGGCCCAG
rnacentral:rRNA from 1 species